GAUUGAUCAGGCCUUUUCUGCCCCGCAAGUUCCCCUGCAUUCCUGCUACUGAUGUUGCUGGAGAGGUCGUUGAGGUUGGAUCAGGAGUCAAGAAUUUUAAGGCUGGUGACAAAGUUGUAGCGGUUCUCAACCAUCUAACUGGAGGUGGACUUGCUGAGUUCGCCGUUGCAAGCGAGAAACUGACCGUCAAGAGACCCCAAGAAGUGGGAGCAGCUGAAGCAGCCGCUUUGCCUGUGGCAGGUCUAACCGCACUCCAGGCUCUAACUCAGCCUGCGGGGCUGAAGCUGGAUGGUACAGGCAAGCAGGCAAACUUCUUGAUCACAGCAGCA